rnacentral:rRNA from 1 species
AGGGUUCGAUUAUGGCUCAGGACGAACGCUGGCGGUGCGCCUUAUGCAUGCAAGUCGAGCGAAGCUUUUCAGUAGUUUACUACAGAAAAUGACUGAGCGGCGAACGGGUGAGUAACGCGUGAGCAACCUACCUUAGUUACUGGGAUAGCCCGAGGAAACUCGGAUUAAUACCGGAUAUUCUUAUUUAAUCACAUGAUUUUUUAAGGAAAGGUCAGCCGAACUAAGAUGGGCUCGCGUUCUAUCAGCUAGUUGGUAGGGUAAUGGCCUACCAAGGCUACGACGGAUAGCUGGUCUGAGAGGACGAUCAGCCACACUGGGACUGAGACACGGCCCAGACUCCUACGGGAGGCUGCAGCAGGGAAUAUUGCGCAAUGAGCGAAAGCUUGACGCAGCGACACCGCGUGUGGGAUGACGGAUCUAGGUUUGUAAACCACUUUCAGGAGGGAAGAAAAUGACGGUACCUCCACAAGAAGCCCCGGCCAACUACGUGCCAGCAGCCGCGGUAAUAC